rnacentral:rRNA from 1 species
GGANACGCUGCGGCAGGCUUAAUACAUGCAAGUCGUACGGUAGAGAUUCUUUCGGGGAUCUUGAGAGUGGCGCACGGGUGCGUAACGCGUAUGCAACCUACCUGUUACAGGGGGAUAGCCCGGGGAAACCCGGAUUAAUACCCCAUGGUAUAUAGAGGACCGCAUGGUUUUUAUAUUAAAGAUUCAUCGGUAACAGAUGGGCAUGCGUAGGAUUAGCUAGUUGGUAAGGUAACGGCUUACCAAGGCUACGAUCCUUAGGGGUUCUGAGAGGAAGGUCCCCCACACUGGCACUGAGAUACGGGCCAGACUCCUACGGGAGGCAGCAGUAGGGAAUAUUGGGCAAUGGAGGGAUCUCUGACCCAGCCAUGCCGCGUGCAGGAAGACGGCCUUACGGGUUGUAAACUGCUUUUAUCAGGGAAGAAAAAGCCUAUGCGUAGGAAAUUGCCGGUACCUGAUGAAUAAGCACCGGCUAACUCCGUGCCAGCAGCCGCGGUAAUACGGAGGGUGCAAGCGUUGUCCGGAUUUAUUGGGUUUAAAGGGUGCGUAGGCGGCUUUAUAAGUCAGCGGUGAAAUGCCAGGGCUCAACCCCGGCACUGCCGUUGAUACUGUAUAGCUUGAGUGCGUUCUGGGUACAUGGNAAUUUAUGGUGUAGCGGUGAAAUGCAUAGAUACCAUAAGGAACACCGAUAGCGAAGGCAUUGUACUGGGGACGUAACUGACGCUGAUGCACGAAAGCGUGGGUAGCGAACAGGAUUAGAUACCCUGGUAGUCCACGCCGUAAACGAUGAUCACUCGCUGUCCUGCCUAUAUGGUGUGGCGGCCAAGCG